UUGAUGAUGAACCCCUUUAUUUACCGCAUUUACCGCCACCUGUCGGAUUGGAGUGUGAACGUCAACCACCAGGCUGCGACGGAAGCUCAGCUCCUCCAGUUAAGGGGCCUGGACUUCGGGACAAAUUGCGACCGCUUAUUGCCAUAUUGCAUUCAGGCUGUUCCUCCUCGUGUCCUGCACCCAAACACAGAGGUGGGACCUGUGCCAAAAGAAUAGACUCAACCAAACCUUCAGUGAGCGGAUCAGGCCGGCUGUGUUUACUGUUCAGUCCAGAGCACUGAUGUGAUGAGACACCGAGCUGAUACCAGGGCCAGAGGUUCUGCCGGUUUGACCUCCAGCAGCUCUGGUCGACCCAGAGAUGGAGCCUGGGUCCAGACGGGGGAGAGGGGUGAGCGAGGUGACCUCUUAGCAGGUCAGCUCUGACCUCUGACCCCUCCACAGCAGGCCGUGACACUCCACUCGGUGCUUUCUCCAAUAACGCAGCGGGAUGAAAGGAGCGGCUGCGUUCAGAAAGAGAAACGGGUCGGCCGCUGCACAUGCGGAAA